UCUACGGGUGGCUGCAGUGGGGAAUAUUGGGCAAUGGGCGCAAGCCUGACCCAGCAACGCCGCGUGAAGGAAGAAGGCUUUCGGGUUGUAAACUUCUUUUCUGAGGGACGAAGAAAGUGACGGUACCUCCAGAAUAAGCCUCGGCUAACUACGUGCCAGCAGCCGCGGUAAUCCGAGGGUGGCAAGCGUUAGCCGGAUUUAUUGGGUGUAAAGGGCGUGUAGGCGGGAAAGCAAGUCAGAUGUGAAAAAUCAGGGCUCAACCCUGGGCCUGCAUUUGACACUGUGUUUCUUGUGUGCUUGGGAGGCAAGCGGAAUUCCGGGGGUAGCGGUGAAAUGCGUAGAUAUACGGAGGAACACCAGUGGCGAAGGCGGAUUGCUGGACAGUAACUGACGCUGAGGCGCGAAAGCGUGGGGAGCAAACAGGAUUAGAUACCCGGGUAGUC
rnacentral:rRNA from 1 species